rnacentral:tRNA from 13 species
GAAUGGUAGACAUACCAGACUUAAAAUCUGUUGGGCCUUGUGCCCGUGUGGGUUCGAGUCCCACCGC